rnacentral:lncRNA from 1 species
AAGUUUGUGGAAGCUAAUUAAAUACUUUUAUAAAAGCCAGUGUAUUCACCCAACAUUUGGAAAGAGAGGCACAUUAGGGGCAACUUGUUUUUACCCAAAUGUUUUCUUUCUGUGGAGGUAGCACUCCUUUGUGGUGCCGGGGAGAGCGGGAUGGCUUAUGCUGUUACAAAAAGCGCUAGGGAUGGCAAGGCAGGUUCACGGGAAGCCUUUGGAAGCCUUUCAGCCUGAUGGAGCUUUCAAACCAGCAGAUCUCUGAUGCUGCCGAGAUCCACAAUUACCCAGUUUGGAAGGGGAGUUGGGGUGCAGUGCCGGUGACUGAACGAGACCCGCAGGAAAGUCGGGAUAGAAAUUCGGGUUUUGAGCCCCUGCGGGUGUAUUGAUACUAUUUCAAUGUCGGGAAAAACACAAAACCCGGUUCCACGCGGUGCUUUAGUGGCUAAAAGUGAAAGAGCUGCCUUGGCAGAAUUGAGCUCUAUGAAUCACUUCGGAAAAUUGGUUCGACUGAAUGGCCUUAGGAGGAAAAACGUUUUAAUAGGAUCCAGGGGAGGUUCUGCUGUUUCAAUCUGCUCCUUAAACAGGUGGAGAUUGGACCUUCUCAAUUAUACAAACACUGAAUGUAAAAGACAGUGA